UGUGUAUGUAUUUUUAAACUACCAAAGCAUUACCUACUGCUUAUCUGAUGUUAUUUCAAUAGGGAAAAUGAUAGGAUCUUUACAAAGAGAAAUCAAAGUCAGGUGCCUGCGAGGAAACUCUCUCUACAGUCACCUACUCAUCACCAGUCUCGACAGAAAGCCUGGGAACUUGGUCAGCGGAGAUGUUCAGAUAACAGCAAAAAAUAAUUUGCAGAAACAGAGCUCUAUUCUGUCCUUGCUUCUAGCAGCAAAUUAGAGUAUUCUUCCACAUGGACCUCACCCAACUGGAGCAAGCUGCCUCUGAAGUUAAUGAAGCUAGGCCAGAGUGGGCCAUUGGAGUCCAGAUGGAGUUAUCUGUGGGAGGCCUUUCUGCAGCACUACAGGAGCUCUACUCCAUUACCAAGAGUUCUCCACUCCCUUUCUGAAAUGCUGAUGUUUCCAGAGCAGUGCCACCUCCAUACAGACGCUACAAAAGGAGCAGGAGGAGGAGGAGCCAGCAUAGGAACUCCAUUCUUUUGGUUUGGGAAGAUGCCCUACAUAGACACUGCAGAGGAGCAGAGGAGGGAAGCACCACGUUGUCGGGCUUGGAGAAAAGAGGACGUAGGGGAAGAAGUCCUUCAGGGCUUGCUCCUAGCAUGAUCUCUGAUGGUGGAAUCUGCUGUGAUGUCCUGAACUCUGCUGUCUUCACUUCAUACACUUCAUUACAUCCCUGGGCUCCAGCUGUCUCCCGUGGUGCAGGCACUUCUUCACCAGUGGCUCUAAGAGCCUGAUCCUUGGUCAUAGCAUCACAGAGUCACGAAGGUUGGAAAAGACCUCUAAGAUCCCCAAGCCCAACCCCAACCCAUUCCCACCGUGCCCACUGACCACAUCCCCACGGUUCUGGAACACCUCUGGGGACGGUGACUCCACCACUCCCUGGGCAGCCUGUGCCAGUGCCCAACCACUCUUUUGGAGAAGUUUUUCCUAAUAUCCAACCUGACCCUCCCCUGGUGCAACGUAAAGCCAUCACCUCUCAUCCCAUCGCUGUCACCUGGGAGACCCCCACCUCGCCACAGCUUCCUUUCAGGGAGUUGUAGAGAGCUCGAUGGCUCUGUAAAGAGCUCUAUACUACUUUGAAAGACGGAUCAGCAUCAUAAGGUACAUAAGGAUAAUAUUUGCUUUGCAAAUGCAAACUAAAAGGCUGGCUCUUGCCAUAAAGCCUGAAGCCCACCUCCUAGCAGACCCCUUCUUGCUGUGUCUUGUACCUUCCAAUGAACCGAGGUCCUGUCAGACCACCAGCCUGAGAAAACACUGGGAUCCGUGGUUGCCUGCAGUGCCUUGCCUUCCCCAUUCCUUUUUUAUUCUGAGCACAGCAUCGUUAUUAGCAAUGAAGUUUUUAUAUGUUACAGUCAGCCCAGCCGGGUCAUGAUGUGCCAUAAAUCUUUGACAAGUCAAGCGCUGCCCCUUUCUGGGUACAGUAUAUGCUUGGCCCCAUUAAGAAUAAUAGCAUGAAUAACCAUAAGCCAUUAAUUUUGACGAGAUCAGACCCAUAUCACCUUAAAAAGAGUGCACUGAUACCAUGGGAGACAUUUGGCGGUUUCUGCUGCUCACUCCCUUAAUGAAUAAAAAUACGGCAGUGGCUGCA
ensembl:lncRNA